CUUUACUGUAGCCUGGUAUUGGGUUCGGGCUUUGACUGCGCAGGAUAGGUGGGAGACUGAGAAGUGUGCCUUGUGGGGCACAUAGAGUCAACGGUGAGAUACCACUCUGUCAGAGCUAGAAUUCUAACCUUCACCCGUGAUCCGGGGAAGGAACCGUAUCAGGUGGGCAGUUUGACUGGGGCGGUCGCCUCCUAAAAGGUAACGGAGGCGCGCAAAGGUGUUCUCAGGCUGGUUGGAAAUCAGCCGUAGAGUGUAAAGGCAGAAGAACGCUUGACUGUGAGAGUGACAACUCAAGCAGGGUGGAAACACGGCCUUAGUGAUCCGACGGUAUGCGCGUGGAAGUGCCGUCGCUCAACGGAUAAAAGUUA
rnacentral:rRNA from 1 species